GGCUGCACUUGUAGUGUGGAAGGAAGUUGGCUCGAGGCUUCGUGGCUUCACUCUUCGCAGCGCCACUUGCACUCCGGCAUUAUGAGCAGAGCUGGCCAGAGCUGCGCGCCUUUCUGAAUUUACGUGUCGAGUGAUUAGAGAUCAUGGAGUUGGGAGCCCGCGUCCUCGUCGCCUUCCUCGCCUCCCAGGGUCAUGUGGGAGCCUGGAGUAUAUCCCAGGGAACAUGCAAUCUCCAGAUGCCUAUCACUAGUUACAUCUGAUAACCUUCAGAGAAACUUUUCCGGGCAGUGAUAUGUGACGACUCUGAUCCUUGGAUACGGAUGCUGUUUUUAGAUUUAUUACCAAAC
ensembl:lncRNA